AGCAGUAGCCACGGUAAUACGUAGGUGGCAAGCGUUGUCCGGAAUUAUUGGGCGUAAAGGGCUCGCUGGCGGUUUCUUAAGUCUGAUGUGAAAGCCCCCGGCUCAACCGGGGAGGGUCAUUGGAAACUGGGAAACUUGAGUGCAGAAGAGGAGAGUGGAAUUCCACGUGUAGCGGUGAAAUGCGUAGAGAUGUGGAGGAACACCAGUGGCGAAGGCGACUCUCUGGUCUGUAACUGACGCUGAGGAGCGAAAGCGUGGGGAGCGAACAGGAUUAGAUACCCCAGUAGUCCCUGUCUCUUAUAA
rnacentral:rRNA from 1 species